rnacentral:lncRNA from 1 species
UUUAACAGCUUUGGAGAUGGAAUCAAUGACUUCAUUGGGCAUCAAGCUGAUUUUGUCUUCGUCUCUGAAUCUGUGAGAGCUACAAGCAUACUUCACAUUCUUUUUAACUUAUCAUAUUGCCUUAUUUUAUUUUUUUAACUUAUCAUAUUACGGAUCGGUACAAGGUUGGUAUUGCUCUCUUUCCCACCAUUGAGGUACCCCCGACUAUCCUGUCUUACGUAUUCUCUUCCCGAACUAAUUGUCUAAGAGGUGUUUAUGUAGUUUAUAUUUAUUAUAUGCCAGUGUUUGUGGCACUCCGUUUUUCUUCUGCUUAAGGUUCAUGGGAUUGGCUUCUGGCAUUAUUUCAAGAUUACUCAUCCAGGACAUCACUACAACAUCG